rnacentral:misc_RNA from 1 species
UCUCCGUAGGUGAACCUGCGGAGGGAUCAUUACAGAGUUCAUGCCCUACCGGGUAGAUCUCCCACCCUAUGUUAUUAUUACUUUGUUGCUUUGGCGGGCCGUUAGGCUCCGGCCCGACUACCGGCCCCGGCUGGUAAGCGCCCGCCAGAGGACCCAAAACCCUGAAUAUUAGUGUCGUCUGAGUACUAUAAAUAGUUAAAACUUUCAACAACGGAUCUCUUGGUUCUG